rnacentral:rRNA from 1 species
CGCGAAGAACCUUACCUGGGCUUGACAUGUACGUAGUAGUGAAGGGAAACCGGAACGAGCCUUCGGGCAGCGUAGACAGGUGCUGCAUGGCUGUCGUCAGCUCGUGUCGUGAGAUGUUGGGUUAAGUCCCGCAACGAGCGCAACCCGUGUUGCUAGUUACAAGUGUCUAGCGAGACUGCCGGUAACAAGCCGGAGGAAGGUGCGGAUGAUGUCAAGUCAGCAUGGCCUAUAUGUCCAGGGCUACACACACGCUACAAUGGCUGGUACAAAGAGAAGCGAAAGGGAGACCUGAAGCGAAUCUCAUCAAAGCCAGUCAUAGUUCGGAUUGCAGGCUGCAACUCGCCUGCAUGAAGUCGGAGUUGCUAGUAACCGCAGGUCAGCAAUACUGCGGUGAAUACGUUCCCGGGCCUUGUACACAC